UGCUUGAAGAUAGGGGGACCAUCCUCUAAGCCUAAAUACUCUUCAGUGACCGAUAGUGAACUAGUACCGUGAGGGAAAGGUGAAAAGAACCCCUAUUAGGGGAGUGAAAUAGAAUCUGAAAUUGAAUGCUUACAAUCAGUCGGAGCUCCUUGUGAGUGACGACGUACCUUUUGUAUAAUGGGUCAGUGACUUAAUUUAUGUAGCAAGCUUAAGCCGUUAGGUGUAGGCAUAGCGAAAGCGAGUCUUAAUAGGGCGUUAGUUGCAUGAAUUACAACCCGAAACCGAUUGAUCUAGAUAUGAGCAGGUUGAAGGUAAGGUAACACUUACUGGAGGACCGAACCCGUUGCCGUUGAAAUGGCUUGGGAUGACUUGUGUCUAGGGGUGAAAGGCCAACCAAAAUCGGAGAUAGCUGGUUUUCCGCGAAAACUAUUUAGGUAGUGCGUUGAGAUAUAGAUUAAGAGGGGUAGAGCACUAAAUAGGCUAGGGGGAAGAAAUUCUUACCAACCCUAAUAAAACUCCGAAUACUCUAAUUGUCUCAGCAGACAGACUGCGAAUGCUAACGUCCGUAGUCGAGAGGGAAACAACCCAGAUCACCAACUAAGGUCCCAAAAUCGUAAUUAAGUGUGAAAGGAUGUGAAGACUCCAAAACAGCCGGGAGGUUGGCUUAGAAGCAGCCAUCCUUUAAAGAUAGCGUAACAGCUCACCGGUCUAAUUAAGAGACUUUGCGCCGAAGAUGUAACGGGGCUAAAAUUACGUACCGAAGUUGUGAAUUUAUAAAGUCCUCGGACUUUAUAUCUGGUAGCGGAACGUUCUGUAAGCCGUUGAAGGAAGACCCGCGAGGGCUUCUGGAGGUAUCAGAAGUGCGAAUGCUGACAUGAGUAGCGACAAACAGAGUGAAAGACUCUGUCGCCGAGAGUACAAGGGUUCCUGCGUAAAGCUAAUCUUCGCAGGGUUAGUCGGCCCCUAAGACGAGAGCGAAAGCUGUAGUCGAUGGGAACCAGGCAAAUAUUCCUGGACCAGGUGGUAGUGACGGAUGUAGUAAAUUGUAACUCCUUAAUGGAUUGGAGUUGCCGUGAAUAUGUCCCAGGAAAUAGCUCCACCAUUAGACCGUACCCGAAACGGACACACGUGUACCGGUAGAGUAUACCUAGGCGCUUGAGAGAAUGAUGUUGAAGGAACUCGGCAAAUUGCUUCCGUAACUUCGGAAUAAGGAAGACCCAAUAUUAGGCAACUAAAUUUGGGUGGCACAAGCUAGGGAGAAGCGACUGUUUAUCAAAAACACAGGUCUCUGCUAACACGUAAGUGGAUGUAUAGGGGCUGACGCCUGCCCGGUGCUGGAAGGUUAAGGCAAGAUGUGCAAGCAUUGAACCGAAGCCCCAGUGAACGGCGGCCGUAACUAUAACGGUCCUAAGGUAGCGAAAUUCCUUGUCGGGUAAGUUCCGACCUGCAUGAAUGGCGUAACGAUUUCUCCACUGUCUCCAACAUCAACUCAGCGAAAUUGAAUUCUCCGUGAAGAUGCGGAGUUCC
rnacentral:rRNA from 1 species